UACGGAGGAUGCAAGCGUUAUCCGGAUUUAUUGGGUUUAAAGGGUGCGUAGGCGGAAUAGUAAGUCAGUGGUGAAACCCUGCAGCUUAACUGUAGACUUGCCAUUGAUACUGUUAUUCUUGAGUGUGGUCAAGGUAGGCGGAAUGUGUAAUGUAGCGGUGAAAUGCUUAGAUAUUACACAGAACACCGAUUGCGAAGGCAGCUUGCUGGACCAAUACUGACGCUGAGGCACGAAAGCGUGGGGAUCGAAC
rnacentral:rRNA from 1 species